rnacentral:lncRNA from 1 species
UUACAUCUGACCUCAGUGAUGAUCUCCAGUUGACAUGGGACAUACCUAACUGUGAUGAUUGUGAAGCAAACGGUGGUUCCUGUGCAUUUAAGAGCAGUACUAGCCAAGAGACCACAUGUUUCUAUAAUUUUCAAAGAGGUAAACAAUAAAUCGUGAUUUUUUCUAUUUUUGUUUGCAUCUUUGCUUAGACUGAUUUAUGAACAACAAAUAUGAUCAAGUAAUUUCACAACUACCCACUGAAAAGGUUUUCAUGUGAAAGUAACACAUGAUUUGACUAAAUCAACAAAUUUUUUGGAAUGGUCGAGUUGCGAGAGUCAGAGAUACCACGGACAAGACAUUAAUAGCACUGAAAUAAUUUGCAAAAUAUUGACAAGUAAUGUGCAGCAUUAGAGAAAACAUAUAGUCAUCAAACAAUUGAAAAACAAACUGUGUAAAAUUGCCCAAGGCAUGAUAUUAGUUAGCAAAAUCUGCCUCAUUCAGGAAGUCUGACAUCAUUAUGUAGAUCUAGUCAGAUCGUAGUAAAACUUAAUUACCGGCAAGAGGCAGAUUAGUCCCUGAACCUCUGAUAUAUACUUGAGUUGCAACAGGUUGUAAUUAAGUUGUUCACUAUGACAUGUUUAUUGCUUCAAUAAUGGAUAGUCAUCAUGUAUGUGAGUUUUUUAAUUAAUACAUGUAUAAUGAGAAAUUAAAUUUGGUACACAUACAGAAAAACAUUUUCGUAUUACAUAUUUGAUAACAUUAUUUCAUUAUAGAACUUCAAACAAUGAUAAAGAAACUGUUGAUGAGAUUAUGCUUUUUAAUUACUAGAAGACCAGAAAGAAAAAAAAAACAAGCAAUUACAUACAAAUCUCUAGGCUUAGCCAAAAUUUAUCCAUCUCAUUAAACCGAUAUAUAUCUAUUGGUAUCUUUUCAAAAUAUAUCAGAUACUGACCUCAAUUUCCAGGUACGAAGGGUAUCUCUAUCUUCAAGAUAAUUGCCCUGUGCAUUGCCUUGCCAGCAAUUGCUGCUUCAAUG